rnacentral:rRNA from 1 species
GACGAACGCUGGCGGCGUGCUUAACACAUGCAAGUCGAACGGUAAGGCCCUUCGGGGUACACGAGUGGCGAACGGGUGAGUAACACGUGGGUGAUCUGCCCUGCACUUCGGGAUAAGCCUGGGAAACUGGGUCUAAUACCGGAUAGGACUCCUGCCUGCAUGGGUGGGGGUGGAAAGCUUUUGCGGUGUGGGAUGGGCCCGCGGCCUAUCAGCUUGUUGGUGGGGGGAUGGCCUACCAAGGCGACGACGGGUAGCCGGCCUGAGAGGGGGACCGGCCACACCGGGACGGAGAUACGGCCCAGACUCCUACGGGAGGCAGCAGUGGGGAAUAUUGCAGAAUGGGCGCAAGCCUGAUGCAGCGACGCCGCGUGAGGGAUGACGGCCUUCGGGUUGUAAACCUCUUUCAGCACAGACGAAGCGCAAGUGACGGUAUGUGCAGAAGAAGGACCGGCCAACUACGUGCCAGCAGCCGCAGUAA